rnacentral:lncRNA from 1 species
GUCCUCCCUGUGGCUGUAAAUCUGUGGUGCCACCGGCAGGUGGCACUGGAGGCCUAUUCAUGAGCACUAUCUGCCCCGCUCACCUAGGUUUAGAGAACCUGGGAUCUGAAUGAGCAGGCAUCGUGAGUAGAGGAAGGAGAGGGUACUAGGGCUGAGUUUACAGCAUCCUGGUCAGAGAAGAGGGGCUAAGAAGACUAGCGGAUCUAGGCACACACUGAAGACGGUAAAGGACGUAGGCCUAGAGUGGGCGGGAAAUAUAAAUAUGAGCGGGGUUCUGCACUAGCAGGAGGCAGAGCCUGGAGGAAGGGUUGGGUUUUGUUCUCUGCUUGGGCUCUGCUUGCCGGCAGUCUAAACAAGAGGAUUCUCUAGGUGGGCAGGAUUUAAAGGCCUAUAGGGGCGGGACUUGCAGGCGGGGCCAGGAGGUGGGGCUCGUGUAGGUGAGCCGCUUCCUCCGUGUGAAUUGUUAUCCAUGUGUGGGCGGGGUUCUUCCCCUGUGUGAGUUGUAGCUAGGGGCGGAGCCUGCAGCAGAGCUUGAGGGGAAUUUCUCAGGUUCGCUAGAGGGCGGAGUUUGUGUCUCUCCUGCACAGAGUUAAUGAUUCUGCAAGAUGCAAGAUUCCGUGCAGAGUCGAAGGCUCUGUAAAGGGGCGGAGUUUGCAGUUCUGUUAGGCGGGGCACAUAACUGCCUGUGAAUUGUUAAACUCUGGACGGAGUUCAUACCUCUGCGAGGCCGGCCUAAUCACUACUAAGGCAUCGGGGCACUCCGCGACCCCCACUUCCAUCCAGCAAGCCUGCCCCUCGGCUUCUCGGAGGUUAAAGCUCAGCAGGAUCUGGCAGGGGCGUCUGGUUUGAGUUAGGGGAACGUGAGAGCAGCGACCGUGGGCGGUGCGUAGCGUUCCCUCCGCCCCCUCCGCCACCUCCCGGUUCGUCCCCAGCUCUGGCCCCUCCUCUCCUGCUCCCCUUGGGGCUCAACCUCUGGGCCUAGGGUGACACAGGGCUCCAGGUAG